AACGAACGCUGGCGGCAUGCCUAACACAUGCAAGUCGAACGAGACCUUCGGGUCUAGUGGCGCACGGGUGCGUAACGCGUGGGAACCUGCCUUUAGGUUCGGAAUAACUCAGAGAAAUUUGAGCUAAUACCGGAUGAUGUCUUCGGACCAAAGAUUUAUCGCCUUUAGAUGGGCCCGCGUUGGAUUAGCUAGUUGGUGGGGUAAAGGCCUACCAAGGCGACGAUCCAUAGCUGGUCUGAGAGGAUGAUCAGCCACACUGGGACUGAGACACGGCCCAGACUCCUACGGGAGGCAGCAGUGGGGAAUAUUGGACAAUGGGCGAAAGCCUGAUCCAGCAAUGCCGCGUGAGUGAUGAAGGCCUUAGGGUUGUAAAGCUCUUUUACCCGAGAUGAUAAUGACAGUAUCGGGAGAAUAAGCUCCGGCUAACUCUGUG
rnacentral:rRNA from 1 species